rnacentral:rRNA from 1 species
UAGCGGUUCUUCCGCCCUCUUUCAAAGGUCCUUGCCCUUUCUAACACGGCCAGGAGUCUGGUUGUCCCGAUUAGAGGGACGGCUAUUCCUCGGGGUAACGAAAGUAACCUUACCUCCCCCGAAUGGUUAAGGACUAAUCAAGGGGUUUUCCUUCUUCGUUUUGUUCGAGCGAUCCGGCCGUCCGCCGCUGCCUUAAGUUCCCCGCGGCCUUAGUAGCGGCGAGUAACGCCGGGCAGGCUUGGGGCCCGGUUGAGAUACCUUGCCGUUCUACCGCCCUUCCCGCGUAAUACCUCUCGGUUCGGACGGGGUAAAAGUCCUUCGGCGGGAGCGACCAAGGUGGUGGGCGGUAGACCCCCUUUGCUGCCGUUGAGUUCCCGAUCUGCUCCUGUGGCGUCCUUAUUCACCGACCGGGGAGACUCGAGUGAGGGGUCGAGAGAGUACUCGUUACGCGCCGGGAGCAAUAAAAGCCUAACCUCGGGGUAGCCAUCCGCCGCCGGCGAUAUUACCUCGAUCCCCUUGAGGGGGGAAGCUAAGCGAGAACGGCGACGUUCUUCGGGCACCUCGAGCGCACAAGGUAGUACCCGAAAGGUGGUGAUCUAUGCCUCGCCAGGAUGAAGCUAGAGGAAACUCUGGUGGAGGUCCGAAGCGGUUCUGACGUGCAAAUCGAUCGUCGGAGCCG